UACAGAGGUCUCGAGCGUUAGGCGGAAUCACUGGGCUUAAAGCGUGUGUAGGCGGGUCGUUAAGUACCUUGUGAAAUCCCAUGGCUCAACCAUGGAACUGCUGGGUAUACUGGCGAUCUUGUGCAACCUAGGGGCGAGCGGAACAGAUGGUGGAGCGGUGAAAUGCGUAGAUAUUCGCAAGAACACCAGUGGCGAAGGCGGCUCACUGGCCCGAUACUGACGCUGAGGUGCGAAAGCGUGGGGAGCAAACAGG
rnacentral:rRNA from 1 species